rnacentral:rRNA from 1 species
AUUGAACGCUGGCGGCAUGCCUUACACAUGCAAGUCGAACGGUAACAGGCCUUCGGAUGCUGACGAGUGGCGAACGGGUGAGUAAUACAUCGGAACGUGCCCGAUCGUGGGGGAUAACGAAGCGAAAGCUUUGCUAAUACCGCAUAAGAUCUACGGAUGAAAGCAGGGGACCGCAAGGCCUUGCGCGAACGGAGCGGCCGAUGGCAGAUUAGGUAGUUGGUGGGAUAAAAGCUUACCAAGCCGACGAUCUGUAGCUGGUCUGAGAGGACGACCAGCCACACUGGGACUGAGACACGGCCCAGACUCCUACGGGAGGCAGCAGUGGGGAAUUUUGGACAAUGGGCGAAAGCCUGAUCCAGCCAUGCCGCGUGCAGGAUGAAGGCCUUCGGGUUGUAAACUGCUUUUGUACGGAACGAAAAGACUCUGGUUAAUACCUGGGGUCCAUGACGGUACCGUAAGAAUAAGCACCGGCUAACUACGUG